AGAGUUUGAUCCUGGCUCAGGAUGAACGCUAGCUACAGGCUUAACACAUGCAAGUCGAGGGGCAGCAUGUUGGUUGCUUGCAACCAACGAUGGCGACCGGCGCACGGGUGAGUAACGCGUAUCCAACCUACCCUUGUCCAUCGGAUAACCCGUCGAAAGGCGGCCUAACACGAUAUGCGGUCCACAGCAGGCACCUAACGUGAACGAAAUGUGAAGGAGAAGGAUGGGGAUGCGUCUGAUUAGCUUGUUGGCGGGGUAACGGCCACAAGGCUACGAUCAGUAGGGGUUCUGAGAGGAAGGUCCCCCACAUUGGAACUGAGACACGGUCCAAACUCCUACGGGAGGCA
rnacentral:rRNA from 1 species